rnacentral:lncRNA from 10 species
GGCCUGUAGCUGCUGCACGUUAUGAGUGUGUUCCUGGCAUGACUGCUUCUAACAGCGACCAUUUCAUUAAGUUUUUAAGUGCCUGGUAAUUGCUUGGUUAUGACCGGUGUCUGCUCCAUGGCAGCCUCUUCCUGGGACCAGAUCUGAACAGUCUGGAGAGAGGAGCUGUGGUGGCAGCAGACAGAUCUCUGCUUCAGGGGCCAGGUGUCUAGAAGAAAUGCUGAGGCAGUGUCACGCUGGUGUCUGUCCUCCUUACAGAAUGCCUGAACAGUUCCAUUGACUCAAAGUGAAGAUCAAAAGAACCAAAUGACAGCAAUAGCCAAGUGUAAUCAUCAGUAACCCUGUGUUCUAUCCACAGGUAAAAAACAAUCAUCCUCUUCAUUAUGGGUUUCAAUUUUAAAUGUAAUACAUUUUUAGAAAUGCCUA